rnacentral:snoRNA from 1 species
AACUAUUACAGUCGAUGAUGAUGGGUUAUAGUCUUUGACAUCUGUGCUCUGACGAGCUGUAGUCACCACCUGGCGCAGUUAUCGAGCGAUAGUUGUGUUGGUCGUUGGUCGAUGUGGAUUGUGCCGUGGCCUACUUCACCACCUUAAUAGCGGUACUUUGAUUAAAAUCAACUGAGACUG